rnacentral:lncRNA from 1 species
GUAACUAUAGCCUCGUAGUAUAGUUUGAAGUCAGGUAACAUGUCUUUGGAUUUGUUCUUUCAGCUUAGACUUACUUCGGCUACGCAGGGAACAUGGGCACUGUUGGAAAAGGAGAUUCAGAGAAGCUCUUUUGUGAAGAUCAUAGAAGACAGUUUGUAAAGAUAUUUGAGAUAAAUAGAAGAAGCUCUGGGAACAAUCUGUCUUAGUCUAUUUAUGCAGUGAAGGUGUCUGAAAGUCAGUGACUAAAUUUAAUGCAGUAUUUUCUGAGCACCUACUAUGGACUAGGCGCUGGGUGUACAACAAGGAAUGAAAAGCCAAUGGUCCCUGCUAUAAUGAAACUUACUUAGUGAUAUGGUUUGGAUUUAUGCCCCCAUCCAAAUCUCACAUUCAAUUGUAAUCCCCAAUGUUUAAGGUGGGGCCUGGCGGGAGGUAAUUGGAUCAUGGGGUGGUUUCUCAUGAAUGGUUAGGCACUAUCUCCUUGGUGCUAAGUUCUCCUGAGAUCUGAUUGUUUAAAAGUGUGUAUUUCCUUCCCCACUUCUCUCUUCUUCCUGCUCCAGCCAUGUAAGACAUGCCUGCUUCCCCUUCCUUUUCCACUACGACUGAGAGUUUCCUGAGGCCUCCUCAGAAGCUGAGCAGAUGCUUCCACUCUUCCUGUACAGCCUGCAGAACCAUAAGCCAAUUAAACCUCUUUUCUUGAUAAAUU